UACAGAGGGUGCGAGCGUUGUCCGGAAUCACUGGGCGUAAAGGGCGCGUAGGUGGCGACCCAAGUCCGUGGUGAAAGCUCGUCGCUUAACGACGAGUCGGCCACGGAGACUGGGUGGCUCGAGCACUGUAGGGGCAGAUGGAAUUCCGGGUGUAGCGGUGGAAUGCGUAGAGAGUCCGGAAGAACACCAGUGGCGAAGGCGGUCUGCUGGGCGAGUUGCUGACACUGAGGCGCGACAGCGUGGGGAGCAACAGG
rnacentral:rRNA from 1 species